rnacentral:rRNA from 1 species
CAGUGUGACUCGUCACACUAUCAUUAACUGAAUCCAUAGGUUAAUGAGGCGAACCGGGGGAACUGAAACAUCUAAGUACCCCGAGGAAAAGAAAUCAACCGAGAUUCCCCCAGUAGCGGCGAGCGAACGGGGAGGAGCCCAGAGCCUGAAUCAGCAUGUGUGUUAGUGGAAGCGUCUGGAAAGGCGCGCGAUACAGGGUGACAGCCCCGUACACAAAAGCGCAUGUGCUGUGAGCUCGAUGAGUAGGGCGGGACACGUGGUAUCCUGUCUGAAUAUGGGGGGACCAUCCUCCAAGGCUAAAUACUCCUGACUGACCGAUAGUGAACCAGUACCGUGAGGGAAAGGCGAAAAGAACCCCGGCGAGGGGAGUGAAAAAGAACCUGAAACCGUGUACGUACAAGCAGUGGGAGCACAGGUUUACCUGUGUGACUGCGUACCUUUUGUAUAAUGGGUCAGCGACUUAUAUUCUGUAGCAAGGUUAACCGUAUAGGGGAGCCGUAGGGAAACCGAGUCUUAACCGGGCGUUAAGUUGCAGGGUAUAGACCCGAAACCCGGUGAUCUAGCCAUGGGCAGGUUGAAGGUUGGGUAACACUAACUGGAGGACCGAACCGACUAAUGUUGAAAAAUUAGCGGAUGACCUGUGGCUGGGGGUGAAAGGCCAAUCAAACCGGGAGAUAGCUGGUUCUCCCCGAAAGCUAUUUAGGUAGCGCCUCGUGAAUUCAUCUCCGGGGGUAGAGCACUGUUUCGGCUAGGGGGCCAUCCCGGCUUACCAACCCGAUGCAAACUGCGAAUACCGGAGAAUGUUAUCACGGGAGACACACGGCGGGUGCUAACGUCCGUCGUGAAGAGGGAAACAACCCAGACCGCCAGCUAAGGUCCCAAAGUCAUGGUUAAGUGGGAAACGAUGUGGGAAGGCCCAGACAGCCAGGAUGUUGGCUUAGAAGCAGCCAUCAUUUAAAGAAAGCGUAAUAGCUCACUGGUCGAGUCGGCCUGCGCGGAAGAUGUAACGGGGCUAAACCAUGCACCGAAGCUGCGGCAGCGACGCUGAUGCGUUGUUGGGUAGGGGAGCGUUCUGUAAGCCUGCGAAGGUGGCCUGUGAGGGUUGCUGGAGGUAUCAGAAGUGCGAAUGCUGACAUAAGUAACGAUAAAGCGGGUGAAAAGCCCGCUCGCCGGAAGACCAAGGGUUCCUGUCCAACGUUAAUCGGGGCAGGGUGAGUCGACCCCUAAGGCGAGGCCGAAAGGCGUAGUCGAUGGGAAACGGGUUAAUAUUCCCGUACUUGGUGUUACUGCGAAGGGGGGACGGAGAAGGCUAUGUUGGCCGGGCGACGGUUGUCCCGGUUUAAGCGUGUAGGUGUGUGUUCCAGGUAAAUCCGGUUCACUUUAACACUGAGGCGUGACGACGAGGCACUACGGUGCUGAAGCAACAAAUGCCCUGCUUCCAGGAAAAGCCUCUAAGCAUCAGGUAACAC